rnacentral:lncRNA from 1 species
UACCACCUCAAAUAGUGUCAAAUACAUCAAAUAAUCUAGCUAGAUCGUCACACCAAUUAAAAUAUUACAAUCUCAUAAAAAGCAAACCAUUACGACGUUACAAAGUUCAUAACCAACAUGACUGGAGGAAAAACAACAAAUUACAACACCAGAAUGUUUUGCAUCACUAAACCCUAAAUUAACAUAAACUGAGCAUCACCAAACUGUCAACAUAAGCCGAGCAUCACCAAAAUGAAUUGAAAGGCCACAAACUAAAUGUACUGCAUCACCUAACUGCAAACAAAAUAAAAAGAAAAAAAAAA